UGUUCUGUGGCUUAGUUUGUUAAAGCGCCGGUCUAGCGAAUACGGAGUCGUGGAUUCGAAUCCCACCAGAACGC
rfam:Aedes albopictus isolate Foshan contig114757, whole genome shotgun sequence.